GGGGCUGUAACUCAAUGGUAGAGUAUUUGCCUAGUAUGUAUGGGGCACUGGGUUCAAUCCCCAGCACCACCA
rfam:Ictidomys tridecemlineatus contig023142, whole genome shotgun sequence.